GCCGAGGUGGCGGAACCGGUAGACGCGAGGGACUUAAAAUCCCUUGGGUUUUUGCCCGUGCGGGUUCGAGUCCCGCCCUCGGCAC
rnacentral:tRNA from 1 species